UCACCUACACACACAAUCACCACAUCUUCAUCUUUUUUUCAAAUUUCAUUCUAUAUAUAAGAUUAUAUUAGUUUGUCUUAGAUUAGUUUAGUUUACAUUAGGUGGUUUAGGUUUAGGUCAGUUUGACAAGUAUUUCUCUUGUUGUUUCUUUUGUCUUGAACUUCUGUCAGCAGGAUGCCAAGGAAGUCGAGGCGGUCUGUGGUGUUGAAGCAGCGCUGGAGGAAGCUCAACCUGGAAGAGCUGAGGUCUUCCCCCACCCCCCCGGAGACGGUGUCCCCCCCGGCUGGAGAGGAGCCUUCCAGAGGGUCAAGGACCAAGAGGACCAGGGAGACCCACCCCCCCUGCUCCCGAGCUCCAGUCGGCAACGCAGUUGGAUCUUCACCCCCAGCCAAGCCUUUCUGGAGCCCGGAGGAUGUGCAAGUUCGUGCACGCCGUGGUACCGGUUACCGCCAUCGGUGAAGACGUGGCCAACUUCGAAGCUCACUGGACGGAGUUGGUCAUCCCACCGGAGUCUCCCGGCAAGCAGUUUGUUCUGAUUGUCGGGGACUCCCAUCUCCGGGCCAUCGUGGACCGGUUCGCCAAGAUGCCAGAAGGAAAGUUUUCUUUUGGUAUCAUGUCGACCCCUGGGGCCCAUGCUGCUCAGCUGCGCACUGAGGUCCUACAUGCUAAGGUUCCUCAAGACCCUGAUGCUGUUUGUGUUCUUGCUCCUAGCAACAACCUGACCGCGAGCAGGACCGUCGACGAGGCAGCCGUCGACUACGCACGAUUCCUCACCGCUGUGAGGAGCCGCUGGUCGAAGGUCUUUGUGGUGGACUUCCCUCCCCGCCUGAACGAGGAUGAGGAGCACCAGAGGGCCCUUCGCCAUGCGUACCAUCGCGUGACAGCUCGUAUGGGUUUGAGGUACUUCUCUGCGGAGGAGUACUUCCCCCGUACGCGCUUGGAUCUGUGGAGCAGAGACGGCGUUCACCUGAGCGACCGUGAGGGGAUGGGGAUCCUCACCCAGCUGCUGUGGGCCUCCACCGAGCAGUUCCUCGAGACACCACCACCACCUCCCCCGGUGUCUCCUACUCCUUCACAGCCGCUUAGGAAGGUUUCUCCUAAGCUGGUUGUGAAGGGAGAGGUACGUGCUCCUCUGUCUCCUGACCCCUUCCAGUGGAAGGUCGUUGGUCAGAGCUGCAAGGUUAGUAGGGUUUUUCUUUUUUAUUUAUUAUAUUAUGUGUCUUUACAUGUGUUUGUGUACAUUUUGGUUCACGGGUUCACAGUCAUAACUAAAAAGCACCUAUUUAAUCAAAUAUGUGAUGUGCUUUCCCAGCCGCAGGUUCCUGGUCCGGCCAGCGUGGCUCAGCAGCAGGAGAAGGAGUCCUUCCUUCCACUGAACCCACGAUGGUUCAGUAGCACGACCCUUUGUGCUAUGGAGGAAGUGUCUCCUUCUCAGCUGUCUGACGUGGUGGACGUCCCAUCUCCUCCAGCGCGCAAGAAGGUGGCCUCCCCAGUGGCAGCCAGGCGUCAUAGGACCACGGAGAGACGCCCCCCCCGCCACCAGUCUCCUGUGAACAAUCAGGUUGGAUCCCCUCCAGCCAGGCUGUCACGGAGACUGGAGGACGACGGCCCCUCCAGCCCGGUUCCUCGGUCCAGGACCACGAAUGGAACACCCCCCCGCACCCAUACUUCAGUGACCAACCAGCUGGUUGGAUCCCCUCCAGUCAGGUUGUCCUGUGGUUUGGGUGAUCCGGCGACCCCCUGCUAUGGCCAGGCUGAAGACCCCUUCACCGGCUGGACUGUCCCAGACCAUUAAAGCUGCAGCCUAUCACUCUCCUCGCCCAGCUAAGGUAUUACCUCCACAACUGACACACACAGAAUGCUUAUUGUAAAAUCAGCUGUAACUACAUUAAACUGGUUCAUUUAACAUCUCUGAUACCCAUAUCUUUCUCUGCAGUUCACAAAUGUCAGUGAGUAAUUUAAAUACAUUUGGAAAACUUGUAUCAACUUGCUGCAUUGUGUUGCCUCAUGUCCAAAUAUUAACUGGUGUUAUGACUUAUCACAGACGACCUGGACACCUUCAUCGACCUGCUGGCCCUGGAUCAUCGAUGAUGGACUCUCCACCUCUCAUUCCCCUUCCAAAGAGGAUGAUCCAGUGAGAAGGACCCUCUCUCCAGCAAAGACAACAACCCAGAAGAAAAUAAGGGAAG